UUUCCGUAGGUGAACCUGCGGAAGGAUCAUUACUAACGUAUCCACGUGUAAACCAAAAACAGUUGAAUUUUGUUCGAAAACAUAUUCGUCCGUUAGGCUGGGAAUGAGUUGAUUUGGAGAUGUUUCUAUCUAUAUGAGAGAAAAUGUACAUCUCUGGUUGACUUCGGGCCUUCACGGGCUUACCCUACCUAGUUCGCGAAUUAAAAUAUAUCAAAAACAUUAAACUCAUAUUUUAACCCAUUUCACCCUAUUCUUUUAAAUGAACUUAACCUGAAUUCAUUAGAAAUAAUGAGUUUGAAAAAAUACGAAAUUAAGAACAACUCUUAACAACGGAUAUCUUGGCUCUC
rnacentral:misc_RNA from 1 species